rnacentral:tRNA from 1 species
GGAGAUGUAUCGAAGUGGUCAUAACGGGGCGCACUCGAAAUGCGUUAGCCCUCCGGGGCUCGAGAGUUCGAAUCUCUCCAUCUCCGCCA